rnacentral:snRNA from 1 species
AUAUUGCAGGGAAAUACCAUGUCAUAAAAGUGGUUUUCCCAGGGGGAGGCUCAUCCAUUGCACUUUGGGUGUGUUGGUGAUCCUUGUGAUUCCCCAAGUGUGGAGAACUCAACUGCAUAAUUUGUGUUAAUGGAGAAUUGCCCUUGUGAUUUCCU